rnacentral:rRNA from 1 species
AACCGAGAACUCCUACGGGAGGCAGCAGUGAGGAAUAUUGGUCAAUGGGCGAGAGCCUGAACCAGCCAUGCCGCGUGCAGGAUGAAGCAUCUACGGUGUGUAAACUGCUUUUGUACGGGAAGAAACACCUCUACGUGUAGGGGCUUGACGGUACCGUAAGAAUAAGGAUCGGCUAACUCCGUGCCAGCAGCCGCGGUAAUACGGAGGAUCCAAGCGUUAUCCGGAAUCAUUGGGUCUAAAGGGUCCGUAGGCGGUUUUAUAAGUCAGUGGUGAAAUCCGGCAGCUCAACUGUCGAACUGCCAUUGAUACUGUAGAACUUGAAUUACUGUGAAGUAACUAGAAUAUGUAGUGUAGCGGUGAAAUGCUUAGAUAUUACAUGGAAUACCAAUUGCGAAGGCAGGUUACUAACAUUAUAUUGACGCUGAUGGACGAAAGCGUGGGGAGCGAACAGGAUUAGAAACCCGUGUAGUCCGACUGAGA